GAUCAUUACUCCCCACCAGGUUCCGUAUUCAUCAAUACAAAACACGGAGAACUGAACUACAAUGUCACAAAAUGUACGAUAGAAUUCAAUGGUACCACAACAAAAUGUAAUAGUUGGGUUUAUGACCAGGGCUUGUUCAAGAGCACUAUUAUCUCAAAGGUAAAGUUCUAUUAUGUGCAGGAAUAAAAGAGUGUAAGGAAACCAAUCGUUUAACGUUUUGUUAUGCAAAUAUCACAAGCAACACGACCGGUAUCACAUGUGGAGGAGGAUCUACUUACUAUUCUGAAUCACCUGAAAUCACCCCAGUUUUGGUUGUGUUCGUGUUGCUCCGUCUUUAGUUUUCUAUGUUGUGUUUUGUGAACUGUUGUUUGUAUGUUGGUCUUUUUCUUUUUAGACAUAACGUUGUCAAUUUGUUUUCGAAUUAUGAAUUUGAAUGGCCCUUUGAUAUCUUCCACCUCUCUUUCACAUUUAUUUCACAAACUUAGACACAAAAUGAUUUGCAUAUUUUCUGUUCUUCAAUUAAUUUGAAUUCAAAAUGGUUUUGUCAAUAAAUCCAGCAAUAAAAACAUUUUUUCUGAAGAAUAUAAAAUAAAUUAUAAUCUUUAUAUAUCGCUAUUAAAAUCAUAAAUUAUAUGAUUUCUCGACACAGCAUAGGACGUUUUACCUUGUAGAAUCAUCCAGUCUCGCUCCAUUUGGAGUUUAUUAGAAUUCCUGAUUUUUUGUUUGCUUCCUUGAUUUAUCUUUUUAAUCAUUUUAUGAGAUUUGUACACCAAUCAUGAACAUAAUAUUUUUACAUAUUUUCAGUUUGACGUUGUUUGUGAUGAGAAGUUUUUCCGGGCACACUUCUUGAUGGCGC
rnacentral:lncRNA from 1 species